rnacentral:rRNA from 1 species
UUCCGAACCCGGAAGCUAAGCGUCUUUGCGCCGAUGGUACUGCAUGGGGGACUGUGUGGGAGAGUAGGUCACUGCCGGAC